AGCCAGAUGACAAGUCCCAAAUAGGACGAAAUGCACUCUAUCCUGGAU
rnacentral:hammerhead_ribozyme from 1 species